rnacentral:lncRNA from 1 species
UGAACAUGUGCUUGGUGUCGUUUUUCCUUGAGCUGAACGUCUUGCAACAGUGGCCGCACGCAUAGCUGCCCCAGAUCCCGGAAGAAAAUCUCUCCCACACCACUGUAGUCAGAGAGGUUUGUAUAUAUUCACAGAGUUGUGUAUCCAUCACCAUCGUUUUAGAACAUUCAUCACUCCAGAAGAAACUACGUACCCAUCAGCAGCCACUGCCCAUUUCCCUGAUCUGCCCCGCCCUAGGAAAUCCGUAAUCACUUUCAGUCUAUGCACAACACUGGGUCUUAUGUGACUGGCUUCUAUCAAAGUUUGCAAGGUUCAUUUAUGUUCAUGGGCUGACCCCACAUUGGACACCGCUGCAUCCAUGUCCAUCACACAACACAGCUG